rnacentral:rRNA from 1 species
GACGAACGCUGGCGGCGUGCUUAACACAUGCAAGUCGAACGGAAGGGCCCUGCUUUUGUGGGGUGCUCGAGUGGCGAACGGGUGAGUAACACGUGAGUAACCUGCCCUUGACUUUGGGAUAACUUCAGGAAACUGGGGCUAAUACCGGAUAGGAGCUCCUGCUGCAUGGUGGGGGUUGGAAAGUUUCGGCGGUUGGGGAUGGACUCGCGGCUUAUCAGCUUGUUGGUGGGGUAGUGGCUUACCAAGGCUUUGACGGGUAGCCGGCCUGAGAGGGUGACCGGCCACAUUGGGACUGAGAUACGGCCCAGACGCCUACGGGAGGCAGCAGUGGGGAAUAUUGCACAAUGGGCGGAAGCCUGAUGCAGCAACGCCGCGUGCGGGAUGACGGCCUUCGGGUUGUAAACCGCUUUCGCCUGUGACGAAGCGUGAGUGACGGUAAUGGGUAAAGAAGCACCGGCUAACUACGUG